UACGAAGGGGGCUAACGUUAUUCGGAAUCACUGGGCUUAAAGGGCGCGUAGGCGGGUUCCCAAGUCGGUGGUGAAAUCUUUCGGCCCAACCGGAAAAGUGCCGCCGAUACUGGGAGUCUCGAGGAGGUAGGGGUCGAGGGAACUUCCGGUGGAGCGGUGAAAUGCGUAGAUAUCGGAAGGAACGCCGGUGGCGAAAGCGCUCGACUGGACCUCUUCUGACGCUGAGGCGCGAAAGCCAGGGGAGCAAACGGG
rnacentral:rRNA from 1 species